rnacentral:rRNA from 1 species
AUUGAACGCUGGCGGCAGGCCUAACACAUGCAAGUCGAGCGAGCGGCGGACGGGUGAGUAAUGUAUGGGGACUGCCCGCUCGAGGGGGAUAACUACUGGAAACGGUAGCUAAUACCGCAUACUAUCGGAUAACCCAUAUGGGAGUAGCUAGUAGGUGAGGUAAUGGCUCACCUAGGAGACGAUCCCUAGCUGGUCUGAGAGGAUGAGAAGCCUCACCGGGACGGAGACACGGACCAGACUCCUACGGAGGCAGCAGGGGGGAAGAGUGCACGAUGGGCGGAAGCCUGAUGCAGCCAUGGGGCGUGUAGGAAGAAGGCAGUCGGGUUUGAAAGUACUUUAAGUCGGGAGGCGUUAACGAAAGAAGAAGAACCGGCUAACUCCGUGCCAGCAGCCGCGGUAAUUC